GAAAACCACUGAUAAGAGUGGAUAGUCUCUGGCCUUCAUAUGCUUCACAACAUAAAUUCACAAUCAGGUUUUUAGGGUGCCUAAUUACAAAGUCAUAAUUGUAUCACACAAAUCCUUCAAAUACCACUUUAAAGUGAUAGGCAAGUUAGGAAUGCUGUUUUCUUGAUUGAAAAGUAUUAGUGAAAUAUCGGAAGUCACAAA
rnacentral:lncRNA from 1 species